CCCCUCUUGGAGUCACACCUGGAGAGUUUCCAGUCCUCUACCAGUCUCGGCUAUGGGAGGGAAAGUCAAGGGGAGGCCUAUCCAUUCCAUUCCUAGCUUGGGCAGUGGCUAGUGAGUGGAAGGCAAUCGGCUACAUGU